AUUGAACGCUGGCGGCAUGCCUUACACAUGCAAGUCGAACGGCAGCACGGGUGCUUGCACCUGGUGGCGAGUGGCGAACGGGUGAGUAAUACAUCGGAACAUGUCCUUUAGUGGUGGAUAGCCCGGCGAAAGCCGGAUUAAUACCGCAUACGAUCUACGGAUGAAAGCGGGGGACCUUCGGGCCUCGCGCUAUCGGGUUGGCCGAUGGCUGAUUAGCUAGUUGGUGGGGUAAAGGCCUACCAAGGCGACGAUCAGUAGCUGGUCUGAGAGGACGACCAGCCACACUGGGACUGAGACACGGCCCAGACUCCUACGGGAGGCAGCAGUGGGGAAUUUUGGACAAUGGGCGAAAGCCUGAUCCAGCAAUGCCGCGUGUGUGAAGAAGGCCUUCGGGUUGUAAAGCACUUUUGUCCGGAAAGAAAUCCUUGGCCCUAAUACGGUCGGGGGAUGACGGUACCGGAAGAAUAAGCACCGGCUAACUACGUG
rnacentral:rRNA from 1 species